UACAGAGGGGGCAAGCGUUGUUCGGAAUUACUGGGCGUAAAGCGUGCGCAGGCGGUUCGCCAAGUCAGGUGUGAAAUCCCCGGGCUUAACCUGGGAAUUGCGCUUGAAACUGGCGGGCUUGAGUGUGGCAGAGGGGGGUGGAAUUCCACGUGUAGCAGUGAAAUGCGUAGAGAUGUGGAGGAACACCGAUGGCGAAGGCAGCCCCCUGGGCCAAUACUGACGCUCAUGCACGAAAGCGUGGGGAGCAAACAGG
rnacentral:rRNA from 1 species